rnacentral:rRNA from 1 species
AGCAGCCGCGGUAAUUCCAGCUCCAAUAGCGUAUAUUAAAGUUGUUGCAGUUAAAAAGCUCGUAGUUGAAUUUCGAGAUCAAAUUGUUGGUCGUGCCUCGGUACGUACUGGCAUUAUUGAUUUCUCCUUUCUGAAGAACCUUGAUGUCAUUAAUUUGGUGUCUUGGGGAAUCAGGACCGUUACUUUGAAAAAAUUAGAGUGUUUAAAGCAGGCUCACGCUUGAAUACAUUAGCAUGGAAUAAUGAAAUAGGACGUUUGAUUCUAUUUUGUUGGUUUCUAGGAUCGACGUAAUGAUUAAUAGGGAUAGUUGGGGGCAUUAGUAUUCAAUUGUCAGAGGUGAAAUUCUUGGAUUUAUUGAAGACUAACUACUGCGAAAGCAUUUGCCAAGGAUGUUUUCAUUAAUCAAGAACGAAAGUUAGGGGAUCGAAGACGAUCAGAUACCGUCGUAGUCUUAACCAUAAACUAUGCCGACUAGGGAUCGGAUGAUGUUAAUUUUUAAUGACUCAUUCGGCGCCUUAAC